rnacentral:lncRNA from 1 species
GGAGCAAGCUUCGGGUUAGGAGAACUUGAUCCCGUAGGUACAAGCUUGGAGUAGACACCGACAGGCCGGGCUUCCUCCAAUCUACACCUCCACUCUAUCUCUCUCAAUCUAGUAGAAACUAGAAGAUCUAUUUCUACCUUACAUUGGUUCCUAAGCCUAAAAAAGAAAUAUUAAUUAGAGAAGAGGUUUUCCUUCGAGGGCACCCCUCAGUCUCUAUGAUAAUUUCUUCAUGUCUUCUCCAGGGGCCAGGGGGGUCUCCUUAUAUAGUCCUUCCCUUCUAUGCGUUUUUGGGUCGGUAGGCGAGGUGGUACUAUGUUUUCCUUGAUCCAAUAGGUCGGUGGAAUAUCCCGUGCGAAGAGAGUCCCGAACUGCAUCCAGCAGGGGGCGGGCGCCCAGGUCACUAGGGUGGGCACCCUGGGCCUGGCCCCUUUUGGCCUCCGUCUUCUUCCCGUGGCUUCUGGAGUCUUGUAGAUGGUAAAAAAUCGUGCGGUGCAUUGAUAUCUCUAUGUAAUCCUGACAUGUGGGCCUUUCUUCCUUAUUUCCUGAUAACCCCCUGCAGAAACAGAUAAACAACAAAACUCAUGGAAUUCUGUCAGAUCAAACCCUAAUUCUAGGUGUUGGUUGCAUAUUGGUCCUUUCUCUUGUUUAUUUGAUAAUUAAAAUUAAUACUUAAGAACCGUCAACAAAUACCCCCAUACUUAGGCUUUUACUCGUCCUCGAGAAAAGGAUGGUUAAGAACAAUAUCUGAGGUAAACAUUUAAAACAUUCUCUUUAUAAUUGCAGGGUGUUAAAAAUUCCACUGUGUACCAUAGUCAGGGAUGUUUAUGGUUAAGAGUAAAGAUCCUUUCUUCUCAAUCCUGUCACUUGGAGUUUUUGGUAUAUUUUUGAAAGAAAGUUAGCAUACCUUUUUAUCCUCAUAGGUUCUCUCAGAUCACUCAUUAUCUUUUAUAUAUAUCUCACUGAGGCUGUUUUAAUUUUGCAAAAAUUCUCAAGCAUACUUACUUUGCAUUUAUUGCCUGAUCAAAACGGGAUCCGAGGAGGGGAAUGUCAUACUCUUAGAUCAAAGACUUUGGAAAUUAAAAUCUUUGUCAACUCUUGCUGGCAUAUUGCUUAUUAGAGGGACCAUGCGCUAUCAUUUUCUCUUUUUCUUCUCUUUUUUUUAAGUGGAUACCAAAGUGCCCCUAAUUCUACUGCCGGACACUUGUCCAUUUUUUUUCUGCGAGGUUGUCGAGCACUUGCUCCUUUUUAUUUCCUCGAAAUAUCUCUAUUUUUGCAUAACCCAUGCCUCUAAUGCAAUAAUACUUCGGAAGAGUGAAUCUUUCUGAAAUAAUGUCUUGAUCUUAGGAGCAUGAUAAACCUCUCAACAAGGGUCUAACUCAUUUUGGACAAACUCAAUACAGAGUAGAUAGCUUUUAUAAUCAUAAUUAAUAUUUUUAGUUUUAUCAGGCAUAUAAAACACUGAGGAUGGUAGCUAGAGUUUUGAAUAUUUUGAAAUGAAUUCUCCAAGCAACAAUGAUAUCAAGAAUAAGAAACUCAUACUCUACCAUCACAUAUUCCACAAUGACUUAAGUAACACAGGGUUUUAAAAUGAUUUUAUAAUAAUUGCAAGUUUUCAGGAAAUAUCACAGAUUGAGAUUAAUCAUGAUUAGAAAUAUUUUAAUCUUUUUAAUUUAUCAUGUCGGAAACAGUAAUCUGCAUAAUCCAAAAUAGUUGUAUGUGUAGAGUAAAGUGUGCAAAGUGUGUACCUGAAUUGUGGAGUGGUGUGGUCGGAGUGUGUUUAGCAUGUCGAGGGAUCUCCCCCAUACUUGUUUUCUGCUUUCUUGUAAAAAUAAAGUAGAGACACACAAGGCAUAAUAAUAAUAAUAAUAAUAAUAAUAAUAAUAAUAAUAAUAAUAAUAAUGAUAAUAAUAAUAAUAAUAAUAAUAAUAAUAAUAAUAAUAAUAAUAAUACUCUUUAUUAAUCUUGAGGCAUUUAUUACAAAAGACUAGUAGCAAACUGAUGAUAAUAGUAAACUGAUGAUAAUAGCAAACCUAAACCGAAUUUAAAGAUAAAUGACUAAGAUGUAUUGCCUCAAGGUCUAAUUUAGAUAACUUAGCGGCGCUCUAAUUCCUUGAUCUUCUUGUUGGCAUUGGCAAGAUCCUGCCUAAGGCCUAGUAUAAUGGUUUUGUCGUUAGAGAGCUGCCUAGUGAGGGAAUUAAUCGAGGACUGGAGGUCUAUGAUAAUUCUGUCUAGUCUGCGAACGUCCUCAUCAAUAUCCAUUAUAGUCUUGCGACGCUUGGGAGGUGUCUCAAAAGCAUUGAGAGCGUGCUUCGGGGCUG